GCGCGCAAGGGAGCACUGUCCCCUGAGUGCUCCCUCUUCAGCUCCCUCGCGCACCGCAUUGACACCGGAGCCGGAAUAUGACGUCAUCUUCCGGCUCCAGCAUCAGUACACGGUGCGCGAGGGAGCUGAAGAGGGAGCACUCAGGGGACACUGCUCCCUCGUGCGC